AGUUGAAAAACAACUGCCAACUACAUUACAUAAAAGUUGAAAUGGACGUGGAGUGUGGUGGCUCACACCUGUAAUCCCAGCACUUUGGGAAGCUGAGGCAGGCAGAUCACGAGGUCUGCAGACUCGUGAAUGACGUCUACCGCGUGUAUAAUCGACACCAGUAUCCAUUUGUUGUUCUUAACAUUUCUGUUGAUUCAGGUGUGAGCCAUCAUGCCUGGCUGAGUUAAGGAUCUUGCAACAGAGAGAUUAUCCUGGAUUGUCUGGGUGGGCCCAGUCCAUUGGGUGAGUCCUUCAAAGGUGGAGACCUUUCCCUGCUGGCCAGAGAGAGGCUGCCUUGCUGGUUUUGGAGAUGGAAGGAGGUACCACUAGUCAAGGAUUGCAAGCAGUCUCUAGAACAGGGAUUCCAACACUCCGGACACAGACCAGUAGUGGUCCAUGGCCUAUUAGGAAGUGGGGUGCACAGCAGGUUAGGGGCCGGCAAGCCAGCGAAGCUUCAUCUGUAUUUAUAGCCACUCCCCGUCGCUGGCGUUACCACCCGAGCUCCGCCUCCUGUCACAUCAGCGGUGGGCAUUAGAUUCUCAUAGCAGCACGAGCCCUAUUGUGAACUGCACACACGAGGGAUGUAGGUUGCACGCUCCUUAUGAGAAUCUGAUGCCUGAUGAUCUGUCACUGUCUCCCGUCACCCCCAGAUGGGGCUGUCUAGUUGCAGGAAAACAAGCUCAGGGCUCCCACUGAGUCUCUGUGAUGGUGAGUUGUAGAAUUAUUUAAUUAUAUGUUACAAUGUAAUAAUAGUAGAAAUAAAGUGCACAAUAAAUGCAAUGCACUUGAAUCGUCCUGAAACCAUCCCUCCCCGACCCCAAUCCAUGGAAAAAUUGUGUUCCGCGAAACCGGUCUCUGGUGCCAAAAAGGUUGGGGACCGCUUCUGGAAAAGCUGGAAAAGGCAAGAAAACGCAUUCUCUCCCUCAGCCUCUGGAAGGAACCAGCACUGUGGGACUAAUUUACAUACUGUAGGGUAAUAAAUUUGUGUUGCUUCGAACC
rnacentral:lncRNA from 1 species